AGUGAACGCUGGCGGUAGGCCUAACACAUGCAAGUCGAACGGCAGCACAGUAAGAGCUUGCUCUUACGGGUGGCGAGUGGCGGACGGGUGAGGAAUACAUCGGAAUCUACUUUUUCGUGGGGGAUAACGUAGGGAAACUUACGCUAAUACCGCAUACGACCUACGGGUGAAAGCAGGGGAUCUUCGGACCUUGCGCGAAUGAAUGAGCCGAUGUCGGAUUAGCUAGUUGGCGGGGUAAAGGCCCACCAAGGCGACGAUCCGUAGCUGGUCUGAGAGGAUGAUCAGCCACACUGGAACUGAGACACGGUCCAGACUCCUACGGGAGGCAGCAGUGGGGAAUAUUGGACAAUGGGCGCAAGCCUGAGCCAGCCAUACCGCGUGGGUGAAGAAGGCCUUCGGGUUGUAAAGCCCUUUUGUUGGGAAAGAAAAGCAGCAGGUUAAUACCCCGCUGUUCUGACGGUACCCAAAGAAUAAGCACCGGCUAACUUCGUG
rnacentral:rRNA from 1 species